rnacentral:rRNA from 1 species
UAGCUUGCUAUUUUUAUGAAGAGCGGCGAACGGGUGAGUAACGCGUGGGAAAUCUGCCGAGUAGCGGGGGACAACGUUUGGAAACGAACGCUAAUACCGCAUAACAAUGAGAAUCGCAUGAUUCUUAUUUAAAAGAAGCAAUUGCUUCACUACUUGAUGAUCCCGCGUUGUAUUAGCUAGUUGGUAGUGUAAAGGACUACCAAGGCGAUGAUACAUAGCCGACCUGAGAGGGUGAUCGGCCACACUGGGACUGAGACACGGCCCAGACUCCUACGGGAGGCAGCAGUAGGGAAUCUUCGGCAAUGGGGGCAACCCUGACCGAGCAACGCCGCGUGAGUGAAGAAGGUUUUCGGAUCGUAAAACUCUGUUGUUAGAGAAGAACGUUAAGUAGAGUGGAAAAUUACUUAAGUGACGGUAUCUAACCAGAAAGGGACGGCUAACUACGUGCCAGCAGCCGCGGUAAUACGUAGGUCCCAAGCGUUGUCCGGAUUUAUUGGGCGUAAAGCGAGCGCAGGUGGUUUCUUAAGUCUGAUGUAAAAGGCAGUGGCUCAACCAUUGUGUGCAUUGGAAACUGGGAGACUUGAGUGCAGGAGAGGAGAGUGGAAUUCCAUGUGGU